CCCAACCUUAUAAUGGCAUUGACGCAAGAUUGAUAAGGUUGUGCUAUAUCCUGAUCAUCUGACUUUUUCUAUGUUAGUUGAUCUUGGAAAUGACUCGCCUAGGU